rnacentral:rRNA from 1 species
GGUUAAGCGACUAAGCGUACACGGUGGAUGCCCUGGCAGUCAGAGGCGAUGAAGGACGUGCUAAUCUGCGAUAAGCGUCGGUAAGGUGAUAUGAACCGUUAUAACCGGCGAUUUCCGAAUGGGGAAACCCAGUGUGAUUCGUCACACUAUCAUUAACUGAAUCCAUAGGUUAAUGAGGCGAACCGGGGGAACUGAAACAUCUAAGUACCCCGAGGAAAAGAAAUCAACCGAGAUUCCCCCAGUAGCGGCGAGCGAACGGGGAGCAGCCCAGAGCCUGAAUCAGUGUGUGUGUUAGUGGAAGCGUCUGGAAAGGCGCGCGAUACAGGGUGACAGCCCCGUACACAAAAAUGCACAUACUGUGAGCUCGAUGAGUAGGGCGGGACACGUGGUAUCCUGUCUGAAUAUGGGGGGACCAUCCUCCAAGGCUAAAUACUCCUGACUGACCGAUAGUGAACCAGUACCGUGAGGGAAAGGCGAAAAGAACCCCGGCGAGGGGAGUGAAAAAGAACCUGAAACCGUGUACGUACAAGCAGUGGGAGCACGCUUAGGCGUGUGACUGCGUACCUUUUGUAUAAUGGGUCAGCGACUUAUAUUCUGUAGCAAGGUUAACCGAAUAGGGGAGCCGAAGGGAAACCGAGUCUUAACUGGGCGUUAAGUUGCAGGGUAUAGACCCGAAACCCGGUGAUCUAGCCAUGGGCAGGUUGAAGGUUGGGUAACACUAACUGGAGGACCGAACCGACUAAUGUUGAAAAAUUAGCGGAUGACUUGUGGCUGGGGGUGAAAGGCCAAUCAAACCGGGAGAUAGCUGGUUCUCCCCGAAAGCUAUUUAGGUAGCGCCUCGUGAAUUCAUCUCCGGGGGUAGAGCACUGUUUCGGCAAGGGGGUCAUCCCGACUUACCAACCCGAUGCAAACUGCGAAUACCGGAGAAUGUUAUCACGGGAGACACACGGCGGGUGCUAACGUCCGUCGUGAAGAGGGAAACAACCCAGACCGCCAGCUAAGGUCCCAAAGUCAUGGUUAAGUGGGAAACGAUGUGGGAAGGCCCAGACAGCCAGGAUGUUGGCUUAGAAGCAGCCAUCAUUUAAAGAAAGCGUAAUAGCUCACUGGUCGAGUCGGCCUGCGCGGAAGAUGUAACGGGGCUAAACCAUGCACCGAAGCUGCGGCAGCGACACNNNNNNNNNNNNNNNNNNNNNNNNNNNNNNNNNNNNNNNNNNNNNNNNNNNNNNNNNNNNNNNNNNNNNNNNNNNNNNNNNNNNNNNNNNNNNNNGGCAUGCUGGAGGUAUCAGAAGUGCGAAUGCUGACAUAAGUAACGAUAAAGCGGGUGAAAAGCCCGCUCGCCGGAAGACCAAGGGUUCCUGUCCAACGUUAAUCGGGGCAGGGUGAGUCGACCCCUAAGGCGAGGCCGAAAGGCGUAGUCGAUGGGAAACAGGUUAAUAUUCCUGUACUUGGUGUUACUGCGAAGGGGGGACGGAGAAGGCUAUGUUGGCCGGGCGACGGUUGUCCCGGUUUAAGCGUGUAGGCUGGUUUUCCAGGCAAAUCCGGAAAAUCAAGGCUGAGGCGUGAUGACGAGGCACUACGGUGCUGAAGCAACAAAUGCCCUGCUUCCAGGAAAAGCCUCUAAGCAUCAGGUAACAUCAAAUCGUACCCCAAACCGACACAGGUGGUCAGGUAGAGAAUACCAAGGCGCUUGAGAGAACUCGGGUGAAGGAACUAGGCAAAAUGGUGCCGUAACUUCGGGAGAAGGCACGCUGAUAUGUAGGUGAAGUCCCUCGCGGAUGGAGCUGAAAUCAGUCGAAGAUACCAGCUGGCUGCAACUGUUUAUUAAAAACACAGCACUGUGCAAACACGAAAGUGGACGUAUACGGUGUGACGCCUGCCCGGUGCCGGAAGGUUAAUUGAUGGGGUCAGCGCAAGCGAAGCUCUUGAUCGAAGCCCCGGUAAACGGCGGCCGUAACUAUAACGGUCCUAAGGUAGCGAAAUUCCUUGUCGGGUAAGUUCCGACCUGCACGAAUGGCGUAAUGAUGGCCAGGCUGUCUCCACCCGAGACUCAGUGAAAUUGAACUCGCUGUGAAGAUGCAGUGUACCCGCGGCAAGACGGAAAGACCCCGUGAACCUUUACUAUAGCUUGACACUGAACAUUGAGCCUUGAUGUGUAGGAUAGGUGGGAGGCUUUGAAGUGUGGACGCCAGUCUGCAUGGAGCCGACCUUGAAAUACCACCCUUUAAUGUUUGAUGUUCUAACGUUGACCCGUGAUCCGGGUUGCGGACAGUGUCUGGUGGGUAGUUUGACUGGGGCGGUCUCCUCCUAAAGAGUAACGGAGGAGCACGAAGGUUGGCUAAUCCUGGUCGGACAUCAGGAGGUUAGUGCAAUGGCAUAAGCCAGCUUGACUGCGAGCGUGACGGCGCGAGCAGGUGCGAAAGCAGGUCAUAGUGAUCCGGUGGUUCUGAAUGGAAGGGCCAUCGCUCAACGGAUAAAAGGUACUCCGGGGAUAACAGGCUGAUACCGCCCAAGAGUUCAUAUCGACGGCGGUGUUUGGCACCUCGAUGUCGGCUCAUCACAUCCUGGGGCUGAAGUAGGUCCCAAGGGUAUGGCUGUUCGCCAUUUAAAGUGGUACGCGAGCUGGGUUUAGAACGUCGUGAGACAGUUCGGUCCCUAUCUGCCGUGGGCGCUGGAGAACUGAGGGGGGCUGCUCCUAGUACGAGAGGACCGGAGUGGACGCAUCACUGGUGUUCGGGUUGUCAUGCCAAUGGCACUGCCCGGUAGCUAAAUGCGGAAGAGAUAAGUGCUGAAAGCAUCUAAGCACGAAACUUGCCCCGAGAUGAGUUCUCCCUGACCCUUUAAGGGUCCUGAAGGAACGUUGAAGACGACGACGUUGAUAGGCCGGGUGUGUAAGCGCAGCGAUGCGUUGAGCUAACCGGUACUAAUGAACCGUGAGGCUUAACCUU